AACGCGAAGAACCUUACCCAGGCUUGACAUCCUUGGAAGCACUGCGAAAGCAGAGUGUGCCUUCGGGAACCAAGUGACAGGUGAUGCAUGGCCGUCGUCAGCUCGUGUCGUGAGAUGUUUGGUUAAGUCCAUCAACGAGCGCAACCCUUAUAGUUAGUUGAAUUUUUCUAACUGGACUGCCCUGGUAACAGGGAGGAAGGAGGGGAUGAUGUCAGGUCAGUAUUUCCCUUACGUCUGGGGCUACAAACACGCUACAAUGGCCGGUACAAAGGGCUGCCAAGUCGCGAGACGGAGCAAAUCCCAUCAAAGCCGGUCCAAGUUCGGAUAGCAGGCUGAAACUCGCCUGCUUGAAGUUGGAAUCGCUAGUAACGGUAGGUCAGCACACUACCGUGAAUACGUUCCCGGGCCUUGUACACACCGUAGAGAC
rnacentral:rRNA from 1 species